GUUGAAACCUCGGUUCACGCGCGAUCACAGACGUUAAGCAAUAUCGAGCCUGGUCAGUACCUAGAUGGGUGACCCCUUGGGAAUACCAGGUGC